AGAGUUCGAUCCUGGCUCAGGAUGAACGCUGGCGGCGUGCCUAACACAUGCAAGUCGAACGGAGUCCAGCCUUUAAGACCUUCGGGUCAAAGAGGGGAAGACUGAGUGGCGGACGGGUGAGUAACACGUGGGCAACCUGGCUCAUAGAGGGGGAUAACAGAGAGAAAUUUCUGCUAAUACCGCAUAAGCACACACUGCCGCAUGGCAGAGGGUGAAAAGAGAAUCGCUAUGAGAUGGACCCGCGUCUGAUUAGCCAGUUGGCAGGGUAAGAGCCUACCAAAGCGACGAUCAGUAGCCGAUCUGAGAGGAUGAACGGCCACAUUGGGACUGAGACACGGCCCAAACUCCUACGGGAGGCAGCAGUGGGGAAUAUUGGACAAUGGGGGAAACCCUGAUCCAGCGACGCCGCGUGAGUGAAGAAGUAUUUCGGUAUGUAAAGCUCUAUCAGCAGGGAAGAAAAUGACGGUACCUGACUAAGAAGCCCCGGCUAACUACGUGCCAGCAGCCGCGGUAAUACGUAGGGGGCAAGCGUUAUCCGGAUUUACUGGGUGUAAAGGGAGCGCAGACGGCAAUGCAAGUCUGAAGUGAAAGGCGUGGGCUCAACCCAUGAACUGCUUUGGAAACUGUAUAGCUUGAGUGUCGGAGGGGUAAGCGGAAUUCCUAGUGUAGCGGUGAAAUGCGUAGAUAUUAGGAGGAACACCGGAGGCGAAGGCGGCUUACUGGACGACAACUGACGUUGAGGCUCGAAGGCGUGGGGAGCAAACAGGAUUAGAUACCCUGGUAGUCCACGCAGUAAACGAUGAAUACUUGGUGUCGGAGAGGUAAACUCUUCGGUGCCGCAAGCUAACGCAUUAAGUAUUCCACCUGGGGAGUACGUUCGCAAGAAUGAAACUCAAAGGAAUUGACGGGGACCCGCACAAGCGGUGGAGCAUGU
rnacentral:rRNA from 1 species